rnacentral:rRNA from 1 species
UGGGAGCACCCUUUGGGGUGUGACUGCGUACCUUUUGUAUAAUGGGUCAGCGACUUAUAUUCUGUAGCAAGGUUAACCGCAUAGGGGAGCCGGAGGGAAACCGAGUCUUAAUUGGGCGUUAAGUUGCAGGGUAUAGACCCGAAACCCGGUGAUCUAGCCAUGGGCAGGUUGAAGGUUGGGUAACACUAACUGGAGGACCGAACCGACUAAUGUUGAAAAAUUAGCGGAUGACCUGUGGCUGGGGGUGAAAGGCCAAUCAAACCGGGAGAUAGCUGGUUCUCCCCGAAAGCUAUUUAGGUAGCGCCUCGUGAAUUCAUCUCCGGGGGUAGAGCACUGUUUCGGCUAGGGGGCCAUCCCGGCUUACCAACCCGAUGCAAACUGCGAAUACCGGAGAAUGUUAUCACGGGAGACACACGGCGGGUGCUAACGUCCGUCGUGAAGAGGGAAACAACCCAGACCGCCAGCUAAGGUCCCAAAGUCAUGGUUAAGUGGGAAACGAUGUGGGAAGGCCCAGACAGCCAGGAUGUUGGCUUAGAAGCAGCCAUCAUUUAAAGAAAGCGUAAUAGCUCACUGGUCGAGUCGGCCUGCGCGGAAGAUGUAACGGGGCUAAACCAUGCACCGAAGCUGCGGCAGCGACGCUUAUGCGUUGUUGGGUAGGGGAGCGUUCUGUAAGCCUGUGAAGGUGGCCUGUGAGGGUUGCUGGAGGUAUCAGAAGUGCGAAUGCUGACAUAAGUAACGAUAAAGCGGGUGAAAAGCCCGCUCGCCGGAAGACCAAGGGUUCCUGUCC